GACGAACGCUGGCGGCGUGCUUAACACAUGCAAGUCGAACGGAAAGGCCCUGCUUUUGUGGGGUGCUCGAGUGGCGAACGGGUGAGUAACACGUGAGUAACCUGCCCUUGACUUUGGGAUAACUUCAGGAAACUGGGGCUAAUACCGGAUAGGAGCUCCUGCUGCAUGGUGGGGGUUGGAAAGUUUCGGCGGUUGGGGAUGGACUCGCGGCUUAUCAGCUUGUUGGUGGGGUAGUGGCUUACCAAGGCUUUGACGGGUAGCCGGCCUGAGAGGGUGACCGGCCACAUUGGGACUGAGAUACGGCCCAGACUCCUACGGGAGGCAGCAGGGGGGAAUAUGGCACAAUGGGCGGAAGCCUGAUGCAGCAACGCCGCGUGCGGGAUGACGGCCUUCGGGUUGUAAACCGCUUUCGCCUGUGACGAAGCGUGAGUGACGGUAAUGGGUAAAGAAGCACCGGCUAACUACGUG
rnacentral:rRNA from 1 species